rnacentral:rRNA from 1 species
AGUGGGCUACACACGUCAUACAAUGGCUGGUACAAAGGGUUGCCAACCGCGAGGGGAGCCAAUCCCAUAAAGCCAGUCGUAGUCCGGAUCGCAGUCUGCAACUCGACUGCGUGAAGUCGGAAUCGCUAGUAAUCGUGGAUCAGCAUGUCACGGUGAAUACGUUCCCGGGUCUU